rnacentral:sRNA from 1 species
UUACUUCGGAAGGAGGUGGUUCGGCAGAUGUAUGCAUACCGGACGGAAGAGGUGGCUGCGGGCUAACGGCCCGGCACCCCACCCAGUGCGGUGCCGGACCAGCGUGCGCAAGAUACACGCAGCCGGCCCAAACCAACGCAGUCACCCGACCCGCGAGCUCGCCGGUACGUCCGGCCGGCUCCUCCGCCGUCAGGCGGAGGGACCCGAGCUCGCGGGUCGUCUGCG